UUAUGCUGAGGACUCUAGAAAUACUGCCUGGGUAACCAGGAGGAAGGUGGGGAUGACGUCAAAUCAUCAUGCCUCUUACGAGUGGGGCUACACACGUGCUACAAUGGUCGGUACAAAGAGACGCAAUACGGUGACGUGGAGCAAAUCUCAAAAAGCCGAUCUCAGUUCGGAUUGAAGUCUGCAACUCGACUUCAUGAAGUCGGAAUCGCUAGUAAUCGCAAAUCAGCAACGUUGCGGUGAAUACGUUCUCGAGUCUUGUACACACCGCCCGUCACACCAUGGGAGCUGGUAAUGCCCGAAGCCGGUUAGUUAACUUCGGAGACGACUGUCUAAGGUAGGACUGGUGACUGGGGUGAAGUCGUAACAAGGUAUCCCUACGAGAACGUGGGGAUGGAUCACCUCCUUU
rnacentral:rRNA from 1 species